rnacentral:rRNA from 1 species
UUAAGUUAAUAAGGGCGCACGGUGGAUGCCUUGGCACUAGAAGCCGAUGAAGGACGUGACUAACGACGAAAUGCUUUGGGGAGCUGUAAGUGAGCAAUGAUCCAGAGAUGUCCGAAUGGGGGAACCCGGCAGGUAAUGCCUGUCACUCAUUACUGUUAAGGUAAUGUAGAGGAAGACGCAGUGAACUGAAACAUCUAAGUAGCUGCAGGAAGAGAAAGCAAAAGCGAUUGCCUUAGUAGCGGCGAGCGAAACGGCAAGAGGGCAAACCGAAGAGUUUACUCUUCGGGGUUGUAGGACUGCAACGUGGACUUAAAGAUUAUAGAAGAACUACCUGGGAAGGUAGGCCAAAGAGAGUAAUAGCCUCGUAUUCGAAAUAGUCUUUAUACCUAGCAGUAUCCUGAGUACGGCGAGACACGAGAAAUCUCGUCGGAAUCUGGGAGGACCAUCUCCCAACCCUAAAUACUCUCUAGUGACCGAUAGUGAACCAGUACCGUGAGGGAAAGGUGAAAAGCACCCCGGGAGGGGAGUGAAAUAGAACCUGAAACCGUGUGCCUACAACAAGUUCGAGCCCGUUAAUGGGUGAGAGCGUGCCUUUUGUAGAAUGAACCGGCGAGUUACGAUAUGAUGCGAGGUUAAGUUGAAGAGACGGAGCCGUAGGGAAACCGAGUCUUAAUAGGGCGCAUUAGUAUCAUGUCGUAGACCCGAAACCAUGUGACCUACCCAUGAGCAGGUUGAAGGUGAGGUAAAACUCACUGGAGGACCGAACCAGGGCACGUUGAAAAGUGCUUGGAUGACUUGUGGGUAGCGGAGAAAUUCCAAACGAACUUGGAGAUAGCUGGUUCUCUCCGAAAUAGCUUUAGGGCUAGCGUCGAUGUUAAGUCUCUUGGAGGUAGAGCACUGUUUGGGUGAGGGGUCCAUCCCGGAUUACCAAUCUCAGAUAAACUCCGAAUGCCAAUGAGAUAUAAUCGGCAGUCAGACUGCGAGUGCUAAGAUCCGUAGUCGAAAGGGAAACAGCCCAGACCACCAGCUAAGGUCCCAAAAUAUAUGUUAAGUGGAAAAGGAUGUGGGGUUGCACAGACAACUAGGAUGUUAGCUUAGAAGCAGCUAUUCAUUCAAAGAGUGCGUAAUAGCUCACUAGUCGAGUGACCCUGCGCCGAAAAUGUACCGGGGCUAAAACAUAUUACCGAAGCUGUGGAUACCUUUAUAGGUAUGGUAGGAGAGCGUUCUAUGUGCGAAGAAGGUGUACCGUGAGGAGUGCUGGAGCGCAUAGAAGUGAGAAUGCCGGUAUGAGUAGCGAAAGACAGGUGAGAAUCCUGUCCACCGUAAGACUAAGGUUUCCAGGGGAAGGCUCGUCCGCCCUGGGUUAGUCGGGACCUAAGGAGAGACCGAAAGGUGUAUCCGAUGGACAACAGGUUGAUAUUCCUGUACUAGAGUAUAUAGUGAUGGAGGGACGCAGUAGGCUAACUAAACCAGACGAUUGGAAGUGUCUGGCCAAGCAGUGAGGUGUGAUAUGAGUCAAAUGCUUAUAUCUUUAACAUUGAGCUGUGAUGGGGAGCGAAGUUUAGUAGCGAAGUUAGUGAUGUCACACUGCCGAGAAAAGCUUCUAGCGUUAAUUAUACUCUACCCGUACCGCAAACCGACACAGGUAGUCGAGGCGAGUAGCCUCAGGUGAGCGAGAGAACUCUCGUUAAGGAACUCGGCAAAAUGGCCCCGUAACUUCGGGAGAAGGGGCGCUGACUGAUGGUCAGCCGCAGUGAAUAGGCCCAAGCAACUGUUUAUCAAAAACACAGCUCUCUGCUAAAUCGUAAGAUGAUGUAUAGGGGGUGACGCCUGCCCGGUGCUGGAAGGUUAAGAGGAGUGCUUAGCAAUAGCGAAGGUAUGAAUUGAAGCCCCAGUAAACGGCGGCCGUAACUAUAACGGUCCUAAGGUAGCGAAAUUCCUUGUCGGGUAAGUUCC